CUGGGACUGUAGCUCGGUGGUAAAGCCCUUGCCUAGCAUUCGUGAGGCCCUGGGUUUGAUCUCCAGGUCCCAGA
rnacentral:tRNA from 1 species